rnacentral:rRNA from 1 species
AUUGAACGCUGGCGGCAGGCCUAACACAUGCAAGUCGAGCGCGCGGCGGACGGGUGAGUAAUGUCUGGGAAACUGCCUGAUAGAGGGGGAUAACUACUGGAAACGGUAGAUAAUACCGCAUACCAUCAGAUGUGCCCCGAUGGGGGUAGCUAGUAGUGGGGGUAACGGCUCACCUAGGCGACGAUCCCUAGCUGGUCUGAGAGGAUGACCAGCCACACUGGAACUGAGACACGGUCCAGACUCCUACGGGAGGCAACAGUGGGGAAUAUUGCACAAUGGGCGCAAGCCUGAUGCAGCCAUGCCGCGUGUGUGAAGAAGGCCUUCGGGUUGUAAAGCACUUUCAGCGGGGAGGCGUUACCCGCAGAAGAAGCACCGGCUAACUCCGUGCCAGCCGCCGCGGUAAUUC